rfam:Gossypium raimondii chromosome 4, whole genome shotgun sequence.
AAACCAUGAUGAGGGAACCUUUUUAACAGAUUCUUAAAUCUCUCCCAUGUGUCAUAAAGUGUCUCAAGCUAAAAUUGAGUAAAAGAAGAGAUAUCAUUCCUCAACUU